GACGAACCGUGCGAACGUUAUUCGGAAUCACUGGGCUUAAAGCGCGUGUAGGCGGGCGGGUACGUCGGCGACUGAAAGCCCCCGGCUCAACCGGGGAAGGGGUGCCGAAACGGCCGGCCUGGAGGGGCGUAGGGGGACCUGGAACUUCCGGUGGAGCGGUGAAAUGCGUUGAGAUCGGAAGGAACGCCCGUGGCGAAAGCGAGGUCCUGGACGCCAACUGACGCUGAGACGCGAAAGCCAGGGGAGCGAACGGG
rnacentral:rRNA from 1 species